UACGUAGGGGGCGAGCGUUGUCCGGAGUUACUGGGCGUAAAGGGCAUGCAGGCGGUCGGACGCGUUUCGGGUGACAGCGGGUGGCUUAACUACCCGAGUGGUCGAAAGACGGUUUGACUUGAGGACGCGAGAGGGACACGGAAUUCCGGGUGGAGUGGUGAAAUUCGUAGAUAUUGGGAAGAACACCGGUGGCGAAGGCGGCGACCUGGUCCGGGACUGACGCUGAGGCGCGAAAGCGUGGGGAGCAAACAGG
rnacentral:rRNA from 1 species